rnacentral:lncRNA from 1 species
GGCAGAUCAUAGAUUGGAAGGACUUCUUCGGAGAUGGUUUGAGGUUUUUGAUUGAGUUUGGAGCAUGGAGCUUGUUGGAGAAUGGAGCUAUUAACACAAAUUUUCUUUUCUUCCUACAGAUAUAUAUAUAAGAACCAUUAAUAUUUUUUAGGUUUCAUUCUUUGUAAAUCCUUCUAGUUGAUGAUCAAUAAAUUCAAAAUUUCAUAAAAAAAAAUCAUAAAGGGUAAGAAAGACUUUAACCAAGCUCUAACUUAUAAUUUGGGAUCUCGAAUGCGAGAAAUCACUUCACAAAUCUAAAAAAAAAUCAUCGUUAAUAUUCUUUAGAGUAAGCCGAUCACUAUAUUGAUAAUGCCAUAUCUACCAGUUCAUAAAAUUAUAUUUCAAAAACUAAAUCAAAAUCUUUAGGGGGGCCUAUAUAAAACUGCGAUCAAAAUUUUUAGGAUAUUCUUUGUUCUCUUAUUUUCUUUUGUAUGAAUUAACUAAUAAAGAAAUACAAUUCAUAUAACAAAAUCUUAGUCUAUUUUACAUAUCUUUAAUAUUUGAAUGGUUUAGGAGAUAAACUUUAAAUAAUAUGUCGAGUAUUUUCAAUGGUAAAUAAUUGAUAAAACUUAUAAUAAUAUGUCGAGUAUUUUCUAUAGGAAAUAAUUUACAUUGGUUCUAAGGAUUGAAAGUUUUCAGUUAUUGGUAGAUUUUAGGACCUUCCAAAUCUUAUAGGGGUACGUAUUUUAUGUUCUUGAUCCUGUUUUCCCAAGAGUCUUUAAGUGCUAUUUUCUUCGGCUUAGAUUUUAACCAAAGUAAACCAACUCUGUCUUUUGAUUUUGGCUUGCACUGCAUUGAAAAUGGGUCUAAACCGGCUAGAAAUGAAAGUUGCAUUGAGCUUGUGAAUAAUAACAUUGUGGGUUUCGAAAGAUGUUAAAAAGUCUAAACCGUUUGCGCAAAUUACACUUUAGAAGCUAAACUAACAAUUAACCAAAUAUAUCACUAUUCUUAUGAAAUAUAGACAUUGAAAAUAAGCUUUUGGUUGAUAUCCAAAGCAUUUUCAAGAGGAAGUAUCAUAAAAUAUUAAAAAUAGAAAUCAAACGCAAACACUUUUUCAUAAAUUAAUGACCAUACAUUUUUUUUGGUUAUGAAAUGGAAUGUUCUAACUAUUAACAUUAAAAUUUACUUAAGAAUUUAAUAAAUUAAUUUGCUUGGAUAAUCAAUUUGUUUCUUUUGAUAUAAUGUGAUCUUCAAUAUUUUGAAUAAUUAAUUAUUUGCUUACAUUAUUUACAAAUUGAUUACUUAUGUCACAUGUUUACAAUCGUAUCUUGUCACAUGCUUACAAUCGUAUCAUGUCACAAGUUUAAAAUCGUAUCACAAAACAAAUUUAACAAGCUUUAAAAAAAUGAUAUGUUUUUAACAAAACAUGAUAAGUCAUAUUAUUUUAAUAAUUUUCAUUUUCUAGUACAAUAAUUCUUGCAAAACCUCGCUAUAGACACAUGAACUCCUUAGUUAAUUGUUUUUAAUUAGUUAAAUUAAUAAAGGAAAUCACAGUCCUCAAAAUAUUAAUUAAACUAAAAUUAAUUAAAUUAAUUAACUAGUAUUUUCAAAAUAUUAGUUUUGCUUAUUAGUUUUAGUUAAUUAAAUAACUGAAAACAUCUUACAAAAUAACUACUUAAAAUGCUUAAAGCUUGCUAACUAAAAAUAAGUAUAUUAUUUAAUAUUACUAAAUUUUGUUUUAAUUAGUUAAGGAGAUAAUUUAAAUCAUAUUCUUAGCAAUAAAAAACUAAUUAAAGCUUUAUUAUUUAAUUAAUUAAUAUUUCUAAUAUUUGUUUUAGUUUUUAGCUUAAAUUAAUUAUGAAAAUCAUAUGUGUCUUGAAAUUUUGUAGGGAUUUGGUUUUUAAAAAUAACAUUCUUAAAAAAUUAUGACAUACCAUCUUUUAAAACAAUAUGCCACUUCCAACAACAUAUGUCAUAUUUCUUGUCGUUUGUUUUAUGUGUUUUGAACCUUGCGCCCAUGCAAGAAAUUUUAAUUCUCCGGGCAUCGAAAAUGUCAAUCCAUUCACAUCAACAAUGAAAGUCGCAGAAGAAAACAUUAAGAAGAAUGUUCCUAAAAGAGAAAAUGGUUAUACAACGGCUAGUAUAAUCAAUGGAAAUUAUGCAAGUGGACCCGAUCCGAGUGGAAGAGGACAUGGUAGACCGCCAACUCCACCACACCAUUGAAAAACAAUCGUUUGAACUGUACAUGGUGGAUAUAAUGUGAAUUAGAUAAUAAUAAUUAAUAAUUAAUAAAAAGUUGUGAAAGUUGGAUUUUGUUCAUAUAUAAUGAAAUCAAAUAAUAAACCAACUGAAAAUAAAGAAAACAAAUAAUACAUUUAACAAUAGAAAUUAUUAUGUAUAUUUUAUAGUUAUACAGAAAAUGCAAACAUCAAAAUUUAAUUUGAACCAAACGAAAAUUAAGAUUAUCAAAAUUGAUCAGAUUUGGAUUAGUUGUUUUUUUCCCUCUCAAACUCAAUCAACCUGAAAUUAAUAUCAACCCAUUUUUAAAUUAAAACAAGGUUUAAAAACUUUUUCACUAGUCAAUAUAAAAUACCUAUAUUUUAAUAUUUUAAUAAAAAUAAUUAUGUUAAACUAGAAAUGAUUGGAAAAGGCAAAUCGAUUGCGAAAAAAAUAUAAAUAAUAUCCGUGGACAAAAUUAGAACACCAUAUGCAAACUUGUUCAUCAUUGUAUUUUUUUCUUGAUAUAUGUUGAAUCACAAAUCUUAGAAAAAUCAUCGCUAAAAUUCUUCAGAGUAAGCCGAUCAGAAAAGUCUAUUGCAAAAACUAAAUCAAAAUCUUUAGGGGGGCCCUAUAUAUAAAAUUGCAAUCAAUUAUUUAACGAUAUUUUUUGUUCUUUUAGUUUCUUUUGUAUAAAUCCUCUAAACAUUAUUUGCAAAGUGAUUUUGACACAUGUCUUCUCUACAAUCAUUUUAAUCAAAUAAAUAUGACGUGGCAUGCUACAAUUAUGACAUGACUUAUGAUUAAAUGUGACAUGAACAAUUACAUUGAAUGCUUAUUUAUAUUUUUGUAAACUCUUUAGAAUAUAUGGUAGUAAAUUAUACACUAUCAUUAAAGUAAAUCUAUUAAAGUAUGAUAUUAAAUUAUAUAACAAUAAAAUUAUAAUUAUAUUUUAUAAAUUCUGAAAUAUUAUUUAUUUCUAAUUUUGAAUAAUUAUACAAUUUAUAACUAAAAAGAAUUCCAAAAUCUUUUACAAUUUUUUUUUUAAAUUAUAAUUUUUUUUUUAUCGUAAUAUUAUUAGUUUCUAUUAUAUAUCAUUUUACUAUUGAUAAUUAUAAAACUUGUAUAUCAUUUUUAUUAAUUUUAUACAAUUUAAUUUAAUAUAUUUUAUCCAAAAGAAAUAGAUAAAAUUCUAUUUCAUAUUAUUAUUUUAAAUAUAUACAUAUCUAUUCUUAGAUAUAAUUUAAAAUAAACAAAAUUAUUUAUUUUAACUUAAUUUUGUGUUCGGUUGAAAUAUUAUUAAGACAUAAUAAAAUUUAAAAAAUAAUAAACUUUAUUUUAAAAAUAAUUUUAAUUUAAAAUUUUUAUUCCUGCACAUUGGUGCUUUUAAACAGUAUAAACUUUAAUAAUUUAAUUUUAUCUUAACUAAUAAAGAAAUACAAUUCAUAUAACAAAAUUAUAGUCUAUUUUACAUAUCUUUAAUAUUUGAAUGGUUUAGGAGAUAAACUUUAAAUAAUAUAACUAGUAGUGUUUCUCUUCUUCCUCUACAAAUUAGCCCCUAAAGGGUUAUUAGACCCUUUUGGAGAUUUUAAAUAGAGGUUUUGGUUUUCACAUGCGAUGAGAUUGCGAUGCCGAAGGCGACUUAGAUCUAGGGUUUCGAUGCGGUUUCGGGGAUGGGAUGUGGGGAGACUAAGGGAUGGAUUGGAGCGGGUUUUUCCUGAUCUUCACCAGGAUAAUGGUUUUGGAAAGCAAAGGAAUGGGAACGGCGAUCUACAGCGAGAAGAUCGAACAAGAUUCAUGGGUUUUAAUGGAAACAGUGGAUUACUCGGGCCUGGGUUUUAGGGCGUUUUACGGAUAGAAUCGAUCUAUGGUUAUCUCAGGUCUCCAAUUGGUGAUCUCCCAGAUUUUCAAGGUAUGAUUUGGUGUCUAUUCUUUAGGAGAUCGUUUUGGAUUGGCUGGGGGUUUCCACAAAGGAAUCACCGAUAUUUGAGAAUUGAUGAUUGGAAAGCCAGGAUUUGGUUUCUUAUUCUCAUCAGAAUCAACGAGAUGUUCGAAGAUUUCUCAGAUGAAUUUCAAGAUCUCUCGGAAGGUGAGAUCGAGGAAAAGGACAAGGAAUGCAUUAAGAUACUGUCUGGUGAAGAUUUCUUAAGUGAGAAUGCUGAGGAAGAUAACCAGAUUGGAGAUAAGGAAGAUAAAGGCCCAGUUACGCUGGAAAUGGACAAAGAGCAGGGGGCUAGGAUGAUGCUGUUUAAGAGCCAGAAUGUAGCAGGUGGAACCAUGAAGAAGAGAAUGGUACAAGGGCUAGUAUCUCCUCGCAAACGUCCUUCGGCUAAAGCGGGUAUCCGACAAGGUGAUGGUUUUAAAAAGGUAGAAGAGACGGUCCCUCAAACCCUUUACCGAGCUCAUCAAAACCCUGAUUUUAUGGAUCGAUCCUUUGAAGAAGAGAAGCUAUGGUGGCAGAUACUGAGAGAGCAGAUGUCCAGAGGCUAUUACCGUUGGUUUCGAUCGGUCUGUUUGGUCAUCAGAAGAUACAUGGAAAAGCUGAAAUACUGGUCUUCAGUGGAGGAAAAUAUUUUUCUCUUGGCCUCAUUAAGCCACAAGUGAAGUCAAACCUUGUUCCUAUAUUGGAAUAAUAAAAAUGUAAGGUGUCCGAAUGGUGAAUGGGAGUUUAAUUGUGGUGUCUCAUUGGUCACAAUUAAUUACCAAAGGAAAGACAGAGAGUGUCGAGGAUAUGGGGUGAAUAAUCAGACUCAGGGGUACGUGAGUCUCACGUCAAAAUUAAUGAUGGUUUAUAAAUGUUUUGGACACUUAUGGUUUCUUCGUAUCCAGCUGUAUUGCUCAACAUAGCUAAUCAGUAUAAAUUUGAGGCGGCUUCUCUGCUGGAAUAAUAGAUGUAUGGGUCGUAAAUGGACGAUAAUUUAUCUUAGGGAGAUCUGGUACAAACAUAAACCAGACUUUUUAUAUUUAUCAGAAACGGAAAAAGAUACAACUUUUGUUGCUUUUUAUGCUUCUUGUAUCUCUCUUUGGAUAUGGUUGAUAUGGACUGUGAAAGACUUGGUAAUGUAUUGGUAUAUAUUUAGGUGGAGGGAGAGAUAUUGGUCUUUGGAUGACUUUGCAAGCAUAUCAAGUCUCCAUAUUAAUGCAGCCAAAUCGUCCUAAUAUGCACCAGGAAGUGGAAUAGCUAACGUAUGUGAGGAAGCUGAGAGAGCUGGAAUUGAAGUGGGACAGCUUCCGAUCAGAUACAUGGGUCUGCCAUUGACUUCAAAGGCUCUUUCUAAGGAGGAUUAUGAGCCUUUGAUAGAUAAAAUCAGAACUCGAAUUCUGUCGUGGACCAACAAGAGCUUAUCUUAUGCAGGGCGCUUGCAGCUUCUCAACUCAGUCAUCUCCAGCAUAGUGAGCUUCUGGAGCUCUGCUUUUAUAUAUUACCUAUGGCCUGUUUGGAUACAAUAGAGAGCCUCUGCAGUGCAUUUAUAUGGGCAGGAGAUCCUCAUCAGACCCAUAAGGCGAAAGUUAAAUGGGAAGACUUGUGUUAUCCAAAAUCAGAGGGAGGAUUGGGCAUUCGGAGACUGCAAGAUACUGUUAGAGUCUUUGCUCUUAGUCUGAUAUGGCAAUUUUUUAAUAUGUCAGACUCACUAUGGGUUUCAUGGGUUCAACAUUAUCUUUUGCAUCAUAGUUCAUUCUGGGAUGUUCGGGAAGAGACAACAGGUUCCUGGAUAUGGAGGAAACUCCUUAAGUUGUGUCCUCUGGCCUAUCAGUUCAUCAGGGUGGAAGUUGGUAAUGGUGAGAAAGCUUUCUUUUGGCAUGAUGAUUGGUUGCGAAUCAGGAAACUUAUUGAGUUAACAGGAGCAACUGGCACAAGGUAUCUAGGAAUAGUUCGUAGUGCUCGGGUGUGUGAUGCUGUGGCUCAAGGCCAAUGGAGAGUGAGGGGACAGAGAAGCCGGCAUUUCCAAGAUUUACAUGCCAAAAUACAAGCAGAACCGGUACCUAAUCAGUGCAUGGGAGAGGAUAGGUUUCUAUGGAGGCACGAAACAGAGGUUUAUAAGGACUCUUACUCAGCUUCAAGAACAUGGGAACAGCUUCGACGCAAGAAAGAAGAAGUGAAUUGGAGUAGUAGUGUGUGGUUCAAACAAGGUGUUCCUCGGUUUGCAUUUAUUGUGUUGCUUGCUAUUCAGAAUAGGCUCUCUACGGGAGACAGAAUGAGGCAGUGGAGAAUUCAGCAAGGUUGUGUCCUUUGUGGAGAGAGAGAUAAGACGCGCGAUCACUUGUUUUUCGCUUGUCCUUACUCUUAUACCGUCUGGGAUAGAGUCGUUGGCAAGCUUAUAGGACGGAGAAUCAAUCCUGACUGGUCUGAUAUGCUCAGAUAUAUUCGAAAUGGAGCAGCCAAUCUUAAGAAUCAGGUGCUCAUCAGUUUGCUCUUUCAAGUGGUGGUUUAUCAUAUCUGGCGUGAACGCAAUCUAAGGAGAAAUCAACAAGGCCAGAAGGGGACUGAGCUGAUGAUUAGUACAAUCAAUAAGACAGUAAAAAAUAGGAUCUCUUCUUUGGGUUAUGAGGCAGAUCAUAGAUUGGAAGGACUUCUUCGGAGAUGGUUCGAGGUUUUUGAUUGAGUUUGGAGCAUGGAGCUUGGACAAUGGAGCUAUUAACACAAAUUUUCUUUUCUUCCUACAUAUAGAUAUAAGAACCAUUAUUCCUUUUUAGGUUUCAUUCUUUGUAAAUCCUUUUAGUUGAUGAUCAAUAAAUCAAAAUUUCAUCAAAAAAAAAAAUAAUUCAUUAAGGAUAAGAAAGAGUUUAACCGCUUUAACUUAUGAUGUGGGAUCUCGAAUGCGAGAAAUCACUUCACAAAUAUAAAAAAAAAAUCAUCGUUAAUAUUCUUCAGAGUAAUCCGAUCACUAUAUUGAUAAUGCCAUAUCUACCAGUUCAGAAAAUUAUAUUUCAAAAACUAAAUCAAAAUCUUUAGGGGGGCCUAUAUAGAAAACUGCAAUCAAAUUUUUUAGGAUAUUCUUUGUUCUCUUAUUUUCUUUUGUAUGAAUUAACUAAUAAAGAAAUACAAUUCAUAAAACAAAAUCUUAGUCUAUUUUACAUAUCUUUAAUAUUUGAAUGGUUUAGGAGAUAAACUUUAAAUAAUAUGUCAAGUAUUUUCUAUAGUAAAUAAUUGAUAAGACUUAUAAUAAUAUGUCGAGUAUUUUCUAUAGGAAAUAAUUUACAUCUGGUUCUAAGGAUUGAAAGUUUUCAGUUAUUGGUAGAUUUUAGGACC